rnacentral:rRNA from 1 species
UACGGGGGGUGCGAGCGUUGUCCGGAAUCACUGGGCGUAAAGGGCGCGUAGGUGGUUUGAUAAGGGUGUGGUGAAAGUCCGGGGCUCAACCCCCGGAUCUGCCGUGCCGACUGUCAAACUCGAGGACUGUAGAGGCAGACGGAAUUCCGGGUGUAGCGGUGGAAUGCGUAGAGAUCCGGAGGAAGACCGGUGGCGAAGGCGGUCUGCUGGGCAGUUCUGACACUGAGGCGCGACAGCGUGGGAGCAACAGG